UACGUAGGGGGCAAGCGUUGUCCGGAAUCAUUGGGCGUAAAGCGCGUGUAGGCGGUUCGGUAAGUCGGCUGUGAAAGUCCAGGGCUCAACCCUGGGAUGCCGGUCGAUACUGCCGGACUAGAGUUCGGAAGAGGCGAGUGGAAUUCCCGGUGUAGCGGUGAAAUGCGCAGAUAUCGGGAGGAACACCAAUGGCGAAGGCAGCUCGCUGGGACGUUACUGACGCUGAGACGCGAAAGCGGUGGGGAGCAAACAGG
rnacentral:rRNA from 1 species